UACGUAGGGGGGCGAGCGUUUGUCCGGAUUCAUUGGGCGUAAAGCGCUUUAAGGCGGUUCGGUAAGUCGGGUGUGAAACCUCCAGGCUCAACCUGGAGACGCCACUCGAUACUGCUGUGACUAGAGUUCGGUAGGGGAUCACGGAAUUCCUGGUGUAGCGGUGAAAUGCGCAGAUAUCAGGAGGAACACCGGUGGCGAAGGCGGAUCUCUGGGCCUGUCCUGACGCUCAGGCGCGAAAGCUAGGGGAGCAAACAGG
rnacentral:rRNA from 1 species